rnacentral:ncRNA from 1 species
UACGUCUGUCGAGCCGCCGGUUCGCCCCAAGUCACAACGAGGGGCGUCACAAGAGGGAAUCUGGUGCGAAUCCAGAGCUGCCCCCGCAGCGGUGAGCGGGAACGAGGUCCGCACGAAGGCACUGGGGAUACCUGGGAAGCCGCGGGUCCAAGGAAGCCGACCGGCCACGAAGGUGGCGGCGAAGCGCCCGCGAGUCCGAAGACCUGCCGGCGGUCCGGGCCUCGA